AGCGAACGCUGGCGGCAGGCCUAACACAUGCAAGUCGAACGCACCUUCGGGUGAGUGGCGGACGGGUGAGUAACACGUGGGAACGUGCCCUUUGGUACGGAACAACCGAGGGAAACUUCAGCUAAUACCGUAUGUUCCCCCAUUCUUAGCGGGAUGGGCGGGAAAGAUUUAUCGCCAUUGGAGCGGCCCGCGUUGGAAUAGGUAGUUGGUGGGGUAAAGGCCUACCAAGCCGACGAUCCAUAGCUGGUCUGAGAGGAUGAUCAGCCACACUGGGACUGAGACACGGCCCAGACUCCUACGGGAGGCAGCAGUGGGGAAUCUUGCGCAAUGGGCGAAAGCCUGACGCAGCCAUGCCGCGUGAAUGAUGAAGGUCUUAGGAUUGUAAAAUUCUUUCACCGGGGAAGAUAAUGACGGUACCCGGAGAAGAAGCCCCGGCUAACUUCGUGCCAGCCGCCGCAGUAA
rnacentral:rRNA from 1 species